GACGAACGCUGGCGGCGUGCCUAAUACAUGCAAGUCGAACGAACCGCGACUGAGUGCUUGCACUUGGUCAAGGUGAGUGGCGAACGGGUGAGUAACACGUGGGUAACCUACCUCAUAGUGGGGGAUAACAGUCGGAAACGACUGCUAAUACCGCAUAGGACAUAGGAUCACAUGAUCCAGUGAGGAAAGGUGGCGCAAGCUAUCGCUAAGAGAUGGACCCGCGGUGCAUUAGCUAGUUGGUAGGGUAAAGGCCUACCAAGGCGAUGAUGCAUAGCCGACCUGAGAGGGUGAUCGGCCACAUUGGGACUGAGGCACGGCCCAAACUCCUACGGGAGGCAGCAGUAGGGAAUCUUCCGCAAUGGACGCAAGUCUGACGGAGCAACGCCGCGUGAGUGAAGAAGGUCUUCGGAUCGUAAAGCUCUGUUGUUAGAGAAGAACAGCGCAUAGAGUAACUGCUAUGCGUGUGACGGUAUCUAACCAGAAAGCCACGGCUAACUACGUG
rnacentral:rRNA from 1 species